CGGCGGACGGGUGAGUAACGCGUGGGUAACCUACCCUGUACACACGGAUAACAUACCGAAAGGUAUGCUAAUACGGGAUAAUAUAUUUGAGAGGCAUCUCUUGAAUAUCAAAGGUGAGCCAGUACAGGAUGGGCCCGCGUCUGAUUAGCUAGUUGGUAAGGUAACGGCUUACCAAGGCGACGAUCAGUAGCCGACCUGAGAGGGUGAUCGGCCACAUUGGAACUGAGACACGGUCCAA
rnacentral:rRNA from 1 species